rnacentral:lncRNA from 1 species
GCUCUAGGAGUUGAUCCAGAAUUGUCUUUCUGGAAGGGAAGCACUCGAAUCCUUUCGAACUUUCCAAGUCUAUCCAUGAUUCAGAUAUACUGCCUUCUCCCUCUGGGAUUUUCUGUUUGUGGCUUCGGAAUUUCUCGGCACCUACCUGUAGUGUGGGACACUUGGUUUGGUUGCAGAGUCUGAAGGUGGAAGAAUGAGCUGUAUUUGGUUAAGCAGUUCUAACCCUUUUUGAGCAGGAUUUAUAAAAGCAUAAGUGAAUGUGUUUCACCCCCGUGGAUUCCAGUGGGCCCGACAGCGCAACAGGUUUGCAGAUUUCUUUUGGAAUUCUUUUUUUUUUUUCCUCCUCUGCUUCAGGAAAAGAAAAGAAUAUUAACAGGUUCAUGUUCAGUUGCUUGGCUUUUUAGCACUUAUUCUGAAGACUUUUAUGAGAUCUUUUAAACUUGACCUCGAAGCACAGUGGGCUUUGUGGGUGAUGUGCAUUUAUAUUCACCUACGGGUGCUCAUUUUAAAAUAUUAUUCUGGGUUUAUACAAAGACCCAACAUUCUCAUAUAUGCCUAGAAAUAGCACAGAACUGCUCUACUCAGGCUUAAUUGUAGUUUUUUAGGGUGUUCUACUUAGAGCCUGACUAAUCACAUCCCUGAUCCUAUCUUUUAUUCUUCACCCC